rnacentral:rRNA from 1 species
CUUGACCCCAUAAGAGGUCCAGCCUGCCCAGUGACCUAGUUCAACGGCCGCGGUACCCUAACCGUGCGAAGGUAGCGUAAUCACUUGUCUUCUAAAUAAAGACUAGUAUGAAAGACAUCACGAGAACUUGACUGUCUCCCUUUUCCAAUCAGUGAACCUAAUCCCCCCGUGAAGAAGCGGGAAUUUAUAAAUAAGACGAGAAGACCCUAUGGAGCUUUAAACACUAAUCACCUGCCCCAUUCAUUUAAUACUCAGGCUCCUAAACCAACGCACCAUGAUUUAUGUGUUUUCGGUUGGGGUGACCGCGGAAAACAACACAACCUCCGCAAUGAGACCUUUUAAACUAUAAGCCACAACUUUAAGUAUCAACAAACUGACAUCCAUUGACCCAAUAUAUUGAUUAAUGAAC